CCUACGGGUGGCAGCAGUGAGGAAUAUUGGUCAAUGGACGAGAGUCUGAACCAGCCAAGUAGCGUGAAGGAUGACUGCCCUAUGGGUUGUAAACUUCUUUUAUAUGGGAAUAAAAUGUUCCACGUGUGGGAUUUUGUAUGUACCAUAUGAAUAAGGAUCGGCUAACUCCGUGCCAGCAGCCGCGGUAAUACGGAGGAUCCGAGCGUUAUCCGGAUUUAUUGGGUUUAAAGGGAGCGUAGGUGGAUUGUUAAGUCAGUUGUGAAAGUUUGCGGCUCAACCGUAAAAUUGCAGUUGAAACUGGCAGUCUUGAGUACAGUAGAGGUGGGCGGAAUUCGUGGUGUAGCGGUGAAAUGCUUAGAUAUCACGAAGAACCCCGAUUGCGAAGGCAGUUCACUGGACUGCAACUGACACUGAGGCUCGAAAGUGUGGGUAUCAAACAGGAUUAGAUACCCUUGUAGUC
rnacentral:rRNA from 1 species